GUGACAGCUCUGCGUGGGUUCGCCUGGCUGUUCUCGUUCCCUGGGGAUGCCUGCCAGGGUUCUUUGCUGCCAUAACAGGUGUUAGUAGGUGAACACCGCGCCGCGGCAGCACGCAAGACCAUACACCUCCCCCCGAAAACACACUCUGCUUCAACGUCUUGCCUGAGGAAAGUGAAAUGCUAAAAGCAUGAGGAACCCUCUGCCAGAAUAGCUCUUCCUGUGGUGGAGGACAAGUACUCACACAACCCAUUACAGGAGAUCAGAAUCUAUUUCGGCAAACAGGGUGUUCUUGACUGGAUCCCACUUCUUUCCCUGAGAGAUUCUGAUGCUACAGAGCUCUGGUCUUGGUCCACUAACUCACAUUCAUCCCUAAAACUGCUGGAAGCUUUUAACUUGAGACUGGAAAAUGCUCCAUCGCUCCUGUUUACAGCUCAGGGGAACUGGCAGGGUUUGUGAAGCUGGUGGUUAGCAGACUCAGAUCCAGAUGGCAGCAGCUUGUCACCCACAUUCCCUUCCUGUUGGCUGGCUGGCUCUGCUGCAACCCCAACCGUUCAACCCUAGAGACUGGUUUACAUUUUGAAAGUGAUGAAUGUGGGGCCCGAUCCUGCAAACUCCCACAACAAGGGGUACGGCCAUUGAGAUGGCACCCAGGAGGUUUUGCUGGAUCAGGCCUGUUGUUUUUGAUCCUGCCAGCUGCAGGUCUCACCAAUCCCUUUGACUCUGAUGGAAGUGGCGGAUGCUCAGUGCCUCAGAGGGCCAGAACUAGAGCUAGUAGAAAAAUGCGGGAAGCAGGGGGGACAUGCUAUUGAGAUUUGGUUUGUUUUUAGAUUCUUCCCCCCCACCCCACCCCACCCCACCCCACCCCACCAAUUUUGAAAUUGACACCAAUGCUACUCUGCCUGUCUGCAGCAAGGCCACCCACGCACUGUUGGAUCGGAGCUGUAAGACUAUAAACUCUCUGGGGUAGGGACUGUCUCUCACGAUGUGUCUGUGCAGUGCCUAGUGCAACAGGACCCUCUCGCAGCUGGGGCUUCUUGGUGCUGCCUUAAUACAAAAUCCAUGAGAAUAGUAUAGUACUGUAUCCAGUUGACAAUGCCAGGGGAAUUUUAGAGAAGCAAAAUGCAGUUACCUAAAUAAAUAGGGAUGUGGAUAGGACACCCCGCUCAGUAAAAAAAACACAAAAAAACCCAAAUCAUUGGCUCUUUAAUGAGCAGCGAUGGGGGCCUGUGUUUUAUGUCUCAGACAAAAGACACCAUCUCCAGCACACAGGGCCAGUGAUUCAGGGCUGACUGAAUCACCGGGAAGAGCCCCGCUCACUGACUCACUACAACCACUUCCUGCCAAACCCUGGGUUUUCUUUGGAGGCUUCCUAGCCAAGCAAUGACAAGGCCUGAUGCUGAGUUCCGUGCAAAGUCUGACGGGACUGCAGCCCGAGGGGGCAGCUUUUGGUUGGCUCAUGCCCCAUAUGGUGAAGCUGUUGCCAAAGAAAAGCAAACAGAUUCUUUUCGGCUUCAUUCAAAGCACAAGGAACUGCGGAGAGGGAAAGCAGAUGACAAAUGAAAACCAUUCAAUGCUCUGCUCGACAGUAUCCUUUCCCAUGAAAGAGGCAUGGCUGGAAGAUGAGCCAGGCAUCGCAGAUGGACGGCCCUCAGGAGAAGCAUCAAUGAAACACUCCGAAAAGCCUGAAGAGUUCCAGGAAAUGUUGCCCUUGAAUGUCAAUGGUUCUGCAGUGUGGGGGAUUGAUGCAGGAAGAGCCAGAGGGUGGUUAGUCAUUAUUAUCCCUCUGCUCAGGCCAGCAACUCUGCGAUCCAGACUUUAUCUCUCUUCACUGCAGAGCCUUGGUUACAUCUGAGCUCUGUCCUGUGGUUGUUCUAUAACAUUCGCUUCUGGCUUUAAAAACAUCAUAGGGAAAAUGAAAAUCGAUGCUGACACCUACUGGCCAUUCUGAGAGAUCCUGUUGCUUCUCGUGAAGCCAGGGCAGCCAGAAAAGACCCUGAAAGACUGGCAGUAAACACAGGGCCUGGCCCAAAGCCAUUACUCCAACACACCCAUUGACUUCCUGGGGAGUUUUACAGGAGUAAGGAUUUAAGGACUGGCCCACAGGGCCACUUUUCCUCUCUGAUCUGCACAGAAGGUACCCUGGUCUCCAGGCUACAAGUCUGACUGCUUUGACUUCAGUUGCAAAAUAUACAGUAAUGACAGGCCAGAAUCAGGAGGGUGAUGGGCCAAUGUCAUGGAGAGGCAGUGUGGCCUCAUGGAUAGAGCAAUGGACUGGAACUCAGGAGAAAUGGGUUCUAUUGCUGGCUCUGCUACUGUCCUUCUGGGUGACUGUGGGCAAGUCGCUUUGCCGCCCUGUGCCUCAGUUUCCCCAUCUCUAAAAUGGGGACAAUGGUACUGACCUGCUAUGAGAUCUACUGAUGGGCAGUGCCCUACUUGUGCAUCUGCACUACACUCAGUGGAGCAAACCCCCAGCGUUACACUAGCGCUGGUGCAUCUCCCCAGGUAGUAGCCAGGGAGGCGGGAGCACGAGUGUAGAGAAGGCACCAGUGUAGAGAAGGCACCAGUGUUUGUAUCACCAUGUCACCGAACCCUGUUCAGAGCAGACCUAGAUGACACAGGAGUAAAGCUCUCGCAGCCACCUCAGGCCCAUCCACACUACAGGUGAAAAGCACAAUAUAAGAGCUAGGGAUUAUUAUUGCUGCUGCUUCUGGUGGAGCUGCAAUACUGCUAGUGAACUGAGGGGUGUGUGUGUGUGCAAACGUGCAGGGCGGGGAGUGCCCCCAAAACAGACCCGUGCACAUAAGACCUGAGCAGUCCAAUCAGUUAUUAAACUGUGCUUAGCUCAGAGAAGAGCAGGGAAGAUGGGCAGGUGGCUUGGAGGGCCUCUCUGAUGGUGAGACAGACGGACAGGAACACGAGAAAGAUGUGAACAUAAGAAUACCCUGGGGCCUCCUGUGUUCCAGAGGUUCUGUGCUGGUCUAACUCCUCUGACGUCAAUGGCAUGAUUCCACUGUGCCAGGGCCGGCUCCAGGCACCAGCAAAGGAAGCAGGUGCUUGGGGCGGCCAAUGGAAAGGGGCAGCACGUCCGGGUCUUCGGCGGCGGGUCCCUCAGUCCCUC